rnacentral:rRNA from 1 species
UGGGGAAUAUUGCACAAUGGAGGGAACUCUGAUGCAGCGACGCCGCGUGAACGAAGAAGGCUUUCGAGUCGUAAAGUUCUUUUAUAUGGGAAGAUAAUGACGGUACCAUAAGAAAAAGCCCCGGCUAACUACGUGCCAGCAGCCGCGGUAAUACGUAGGGGGCUAGCGUUGUCCGGAAUCACUGGGCGUAAAGGGUUCGCAGGCGGAAAUGCAAGUCAGGUGUAAAACGCAGUAGCUUAACUACUGUAAGCAUUUGAAACUGCAUAUCUUGAGAAGAGUAGAGGUAAGUGGAAUUUUUAGUGUAGCGGUGAAAUGCGUAGAUAUUAAAAAGAAUACCGGUGGCGAAGGCGACUUACUGGGCUCAUUCUGACGCUGAGGAACGAAAGCGUGGGUAGCAAACAGG